AGGGAAUCUUCCACAAUGGACGGAAGUCUGAUGGAGCAACGCCGCGUGAGCGAAGAAGGUUUUCGGAUCGUAAAGCUCUGUUGUAAGGGAAGAACACGUACGGGAGUCACUGCCCGUACCUUGACGGUACCUUAUCAGAAAGCCACGGCUAACUACGUGCUAGCAGCCGCGGUAAUACGUAGGUGGCAAGCGUUGUCCGGAAUUAUUGGGCGUAAAGCGCGCGCAGGCGGUCCUUUAAGUCUGAUGUGAAAGCCCACGGCUCAACCGUGGAGGGUCAUUGGAAACUGGAGGACUUGAGUACAGAAGAGGAAAGCGGAAUUCCACGUGUAGCGGUGAAAUGCGUAGAGAUGUGGAGGAACACCAGUGGCGAAGGCGGCUUUCUGGUCUGUAACUGACGCUGAGGCGCGAAAGCGUGGGGAGCAAAC
rnacentral:rRNA from 1 species